rnacentral:rRNA from 1 species
AACGUAGGACGCAAGCGUUAUCCGGAGUUACUGGGCGUAAAGCGCGGGCAGGCGGUCGUCUAAGUCUGAUGUGAAAUCUCCUCGCUCAACGGGGAGCAGCCAUUGGAAACUGGGCGACUGGAGUCUGACAGAGGUAGGCGGAAUUCCGGGUGGAGUGGUGAAAUGCGUAGAGAUCCGGAGGAACACCAGAGGCGAAGGCGGCCUACUGGGUCAGUACUGACGCUGAGCCGCGAAAGCCAGGGGAGCGAACGGG